AGAUUUGAACGCUGGCGGCAUGCCUUACACAUGCAAGUCGAACGGCAGCACGGGAGCAAUCCUGGUGGCGAGUGGCGAACGGGGUGAGUAAUAUAUCGGAACGUGCCCAGUCGUGGGGGAUAACGCAGCGAAAGCUGUGCUAAUACCGCAUACGAUCUCUGGAUGAAAGGCGGGGGACUCGACGAAGGGCCUCGCGCGAGUUGGAGCGGCGAUAUCAGUAUUGCUUAGUUAGGUAGGGGUAAAAGCUACACCGAGGCGACGAUC
rnacentral:rRNA from 1 species